GCUGGGGUAGCUCAGUUGGUAGAGCAUGAGGCUCUUAAUCUCAGAGUCGUGGGUUCAAGCCCUACAUCGGGCA